rnacentral:misc_RNA from 1 species
GAUGAAGAACGUAGCGAAAUGCGAUAAGUAGUGUGAAUUGCAGAAUUCAGUGAAUCAUCGAAUCUUUGAACGCACAUUGCGCCCCUUGGUAUUCCAUGGGGCACGCCUGUUCGAGCGUCAUUUGUACCUUCAAGCUUUGCUUGGUGUUGGGUGUUUGUCCCUCGGGACUCGCCUUAAAGUCAUUGGCAGCCAGUGUUUUGGUUUUGAAGCGCAGCACAAGUCGCGAUUCAAGGCUAUCCGCCCGCUUCCACAAGCCUUUUUCACUUUUGACCUCGGAUCAGGUAGGGAUACCCGCUGAACUUAAGCAUAUCAAUAAGCGGAGGA